rnacentral:rRNA from 1 species
GACGAACGCUGGCGGCGUGCUUAACACAUGCAAGUCGAACGCUGAUGGCAGGGCUUGCCCUGUCUGAUCAGUGGCGAACGGGUGAGUAACACGUGAGUAACCUGCCCCAGACUCUGGGAUAACCCCGGGAAACACGAGCUAAUACCGGAUAUGACACUUGUACGCAUGUGCUGCGGUGGAAAGUUUUUCGGACUGGGCUGGGCUCGCGGCCUAUAAGCUUGUUGGUGAGGUAGUGGCUCACCAAGGCGACGACGGGUAGCCGGCAUGGGAGGGCGACCGGCCACACUGGGACUGAGACACGGCCCAGACUCCUACGGGAGGCAGCAGUGGGGAAUAUUGCACAAUGGGCGGAAGCCUGAAGCAGCGACGCCGCGUGAGGGAUGACGGCCUUCGGGUUGUAAACCUCUUUCAGCAGGGAAGAAGCGUGAGUGACGGUACCUGCAGAAGAAGCACCGGCUAACUACGUGCCAGCCGCCGCGGUAAUAC